AAGCAGCAGGAAGAAAAGCGGGGUCGGACACUAUGGUCACACCACUGAAAAACUAUAAAUCAGACCUGCACUUCCAUCAGCCCCACACCGAUGCAUUUGCCUGUUUUGACUCACUCAGAUGCUACCAGCUUCAAACCUCCUCAGUACUGAAUGCUUCAAAAC
rnacentral:lncRNA from 12 species